UACGUAGGGUGCGAGCGUUAAUCGGAAUUACUGGGCGUAAAGCGUGCGCAGGCGGUUCGUUAAGUUCGUUGUGAAAGCCCCGGGCUCAACCUGGGAACUGCAAUGGAAACUGGCGGGCUUGAGUGUGGCAGAGGGGGGUGGAAUUCCGCGUGUAGCAGUGAAAUGCGUAGAGAUGCGGAGGAACACCGAUGGCGAAGGCAGCCCCCUGGGCCAACACUGACGCUCAUGCACGAAAGCGUGGGGAGCGAACAGG
rnacentral:rRNA from 1 species